rnacentral:sRNA from 1 species
AUUUUGCUCAUACACAAGGACUUUGUUCUCCUCAUCGACCAAGAAUUUUAUGCCAUAUUUAAUCUCAGGCUUCAAAUCCACCGUUAAAAACUUGAUCCACGACAACACUUUGGCCUCACCAAUCUUAUUUGUCACCCAUAUCUGUGUCUUCGAUGUAAGGGAAGGUUGUAAUAACACGGAAAGUUUCUCUUCUUUAACAACUGAUAGAGAUGUAUUACGAAAAUACGGAAUCUGAUACGGAAGACAUAGACGUUCAAAUCUUUCUGUCGUAUAAUCAAAACAGAUCAAGAAUAGGUCGCACGGUUUAUCAUUUCCAUCUGUAGCAAACCAGUAAGUCUUACCCUUCAAAGAAACGUUUUCAAUGUACAAAGAGGAGUCCACAGUGACAUCAAGAAUCCUCCAUGAAUUUGAGUUAAUCUCAUAAAUUUCGAACUCUUGGCCACCAUAAAUCCCGUGGCUCAAUAUUUUGUAGCUAUUAUUGUCGGAUUUUUUGUCUUGGUAGGAUCCAAGAGCAUAGUUGCAGAUGUAGCCCAUCCUUCUGUGUUGAAUCCACUUGGUUUUACCAGUACACGGGUUCCAUACCACGAGCCUAGUAUUAAUUUUCUCCACGUUGACGCAUAACAAUAAGCCAGAAGUUUGACAUAAUGGAGAGUUCCUGAACAUACCUAAACUAGAAUGAUGGUCGAUUAGGUUAAGUUCACCAGUGACCUCUAUAGGUGAAACUCUUUGGAGAUUGAUGCUAAUCGAAGAAAAACCAAAAUUCUUCCACAUGAGAAUCAGAGAUUGCCUUGGGGCUUUAUGGCAGUGUUUGCUUUUGAAUCUCUUAUCGUUGUAUAAAUGGUUCCAUAGUUUGCAAGUAGAUCGUAAUCGUUUCAAAGAUGUAGCCGGAACGCGGCAGAGUAUCUCCACUAACAAAUCCUCUGGAAGUUCUGGCAUCAUCAUUGUUAUCUCCGGAGGAAGAAACUGCCGGUGGUGGCUUUGAUUGUUGUUUAGGGUUUUAUGUUGCUUUGUUGUUUUCUAGGGUAUUAUGUUUAAUUUAUGCUGACUCUUUAAUAUAUAGACGAAAAAAUAAAGU